rnacentral:rRNA from 1 species
GAUGAACGCUGGCGGCGUGCCUAAUACAUGCAAGUCGAGCGAACGGACGAGAAGCUUGCUUCUCUGAUGUUAGCGGCGGACGGGUGAGUAACACGUGGAUAACCUACCUAUAAGACUGGGAUAACUUCGGGAAACCGGAGCUAAUACCGGAUAAUAUUUUGAACCGCAUGGUUCAAAAGUGAAAGACGGUCUUGCUGUCACUUAUAGAUGGAUCCGCGCUGCAUUAGCUAGUUGGUAAGGUAACGGCUUACCAAGGCAACGAUGCAUAGCCGACCUGAGAGGCUGAUCGGCCACACUGGAACUGAGACACGGUCCAGACUCCUACGGAAGGCAGCAGUAGGGAAUCUUCCGAAAUGGGCGAAAGCCUGACGGAGCAACGCCGCGUGAGUGAUGAAGGUCUUCGGAUCGUAAAACUCUGUUAUUAGGGAAGAACAUAUGUGUAAGUAACUGUGCACAUCUUGACGGUACCUAAUCAGAAAGCCACGGCUAACUACGUG